GUAAGUACAGGAUGGAGUGGCCACAAGGCAGGGAGUCAGCAUGUAGCCAACAGGCCCUGCCUGCUCAGAGAGCCCGAGCAGCCGGAGGUAAUCGGUGCCUUAUUAACCAUCCAAGAGAGGGAGCCAGCCCCACUGGGCCACUUCCAGGCACCUCCUCCACAUCCUCCACCCUGGGCAGGCCUGGCUCAGCUCUCCGCGCCCCAGGAGGCUUCCUCGCGCUCUGGCUCCUGGCCCCUGGCCCUGUGGACUUGUGGCAACAAUGCCCCACAGUGAGGGGUUCUCUGGCCAGUGCCAGGGCCUCCAACCAGAACUCCCUCCCCAGGGCUGGGUUUCCCUCACACCCAGGCCUCAGAGGACAGCCCUUUGUCGCCUCUAUCCAGGCAGGACCAUUUCCCUUCAGGCCACAGGCUCCAUGUCCACUGAGAGACAUCCGCACCAUCCUCCUUCCCCCUCCAUUUCCAGGUCCCGACAGGGCCUGCACCAGUCCUUGCCCUAUGCUUGGUGAAGGGCAACUUCUGACACCGAUGUGCCCUGUUCCUGACGUGCCCGGCGAGACCUGAAUUCCAGUCAGAGCUGGCUGCUCACAGGACAGUCUGGGCUUUGUCGCCUUCGGGAUCCAGCGGGAGAAUCUCAGGCUUUGUCCGGAGCAAUGCUGCCACCUUUCCCAGUGCUGCCCUUUGGGGGCCUCAGACCAAGUGUGUCCCAUGUGUCCACCCCCCGCCAGUGACAGCUCUUUGGAGCAGAUGCGUGGACAGAAGGACCCAUAUUCCAAGGGCUGCCAAUUCUCAGUCAAGUCAUCCCCGGGUAUCUCGGGCCCUCUGUGCUCCUGCUUCAUCCUGGUGGCAGUGGACCCAAGCUGCGCACAGUCACAUCAGGGCAACCCCAUUACCCCAGGAGUGGCCAGAAGCAGUCGCUGCCGAGAGCCCAGCACCGGAGGAGGACGCCUAUGGUCCGCGAGGGAGCAGACAGUUGGCCCAACGAGGCCCCCCUGUCCCGGGGCGCAUGCUCACCACCCGCCUCAUCCCUACAGAUGAUGACACAAGAGGGCUCCCACACCCCUCAGUGGCCUGACCCUGCCAGAGAGAAGAACUGAGCGCCAAAACUGCAGCCAGGGUCGGUUUGCAGGGCUGGGGUCAGGCCUGGGCAGGGCUGCCACAGAGGUCAGUUUUCCUGUAGAGAAAUCAGGGCAGGAAGGGGAAUCUUCCCAGGCCCUGUCUCGCGCACUUCCGACAUCUGUUCCAAAAGCAUCUGAGGAUGUCUUCAGCGCUUCUCAGACUCUAACAUGAACGUGAAUCCUCUGGGGAGCCUGUUAGAAUGCAGAUUCUUGGGGCCAGCCUUGUGGCACAAGCUCACUUCCACAGCUCGAGUUCCUGGGUUCCAAUCCCAGGCACAGACCUACACACCACUCAUCAAGUCACGCUGUGGCGGCGACACACAUACAGUGGAGGAAGAUUGGCACAGACGAUUGCUCUCAGGGCCAAUCUUCUUCAAGUGAAAAAAGAGGAAGAUUGGCAACAGGUGUUAGCUGAGAGCUAAUCUUCCUCAGGAGGAAAAGAAAAACGCAGAUUCUGAUUCAAUAGGUCUGGGUAGGCCCAAGAUUCUGCUUUUCUAACAAGCUCCCAGGUGGUGCCAAUGCUGCUGGUCUCAGGACUUUGAGCAGCAAGGGGCUGAAUUACAAAAGCAAAAAGCUCUGGAUCACAGUCUAGUUAAAACAAAAACACAGAGAGGGAGGAAGCUGCUCCUGAUACCAGAGAGAGAUUGCAACGGAGCAUCGCUUUCCCUGUGAGCUUUCCGAAAACCGUGGCAAGAAAGGAAAGAAGCGCUUACCAACUCUUACGCCAUGAUAGAAGAGACAACUGCAGGCAUGGAGAGAAAGCCCUUCCCCGGUCUGGCUGCCCAGGAAACUGAUGAAGCGGACCUUAUUCUCAGGAGAGUGGAGAAGCAGGCUGUUUUAGGGGUACUGCCAGCCUUUCUAUGAGAAGCACUGAGCCUGGGCACCUCAGUGGGGUGCAUCUGUGAUGGAGAGUCACGGUUUAGACCCCACUGCCCCUGGUGCCCCACCUGGGCCAGCGCCAUGGUCAGCGCCCAUAGGAGACCAUCCUUCUCCCACUUUUUGGCUCAGACACUAGCUGGCUUAACCAUCCCUGACAACAGAGUGGAAACCUGGACUCAGAUGCUUCACCAUGCAGCACCCCGCAAGGUGUUCAGGGGAGGGCAGCUGAGGCCCAGGCCUGAGCCUCAGGAAGGGGUGAGGUGGAUCUGUGGGCAGCGGAAGAGCCCCACCUCUUUCCAGUAAUCAAGAAAGGCUUCCUGGAGGAGGGCACAUGGCGGGCAGACUUGUUUAUGUAAAGGAAGGGAGGUGGUUUGGGGAAAGGAAAGUCCAAGCAGAAGGAGGGAUGGGAUGGGGUGGGCAUCCAGCCACAGUGGGGGUGGGGAGGUUCCCUCACUGCCCCUCUCUCCAUGGCUGGCUCAGACCCUCAGAGACGGGCUGGUGGAGGUGGGACGGCACAUGGCUCUCCUGCCACCCCCACGCCCAGGAUGUCCAGUAUAAGUCUAUCUCCUCUUUACACCCUGAAUCUCUGCUCCCCCUCCUGGCUCUGCCUGCCUCGAGGAGCACCCAGGUUGGGGCACGGAGGCUCUGGCCUGGGGGCAUCCCACACCCAGACCAGUGUGGGUGGGAACUGGAGCUGAGUGAGGGCUUUGGCCAAUGAGGCCUCUGAACGUGACCGUGGGCACAGCCACAGGCAGGACACAGGAAAGGAGAGACUGGUCAGCCUUCUGCCACGAGGCCUUGGGAUGUCAUGGUCAGUCGAGGUCUUCACUCUUAGACGGCUACGUUCCUACGAAAGGCCAACCCGAGUGGUCACCUUGGCCUGAAGGGGGGUCACAUGGGUGUUGACUUCUCAGCCAUCCUCACUCCUUCCUGGGGUGACCCGGGACACAUCCCUCUCUUCCCAGCAUCCUUUGUGACAACAAGGACGUGCAGGACCCUGAUGAUUUCCCAGAGAAGGAAAUGGAAAAUUCUCAGAUAAAAAAAGCCAAGGUCCGGGAGAGCCAGGAUCCCUGACAACAGCAGACACGGUGGAGGAUGAACGGGCCUCGGACCAGGGGCUGGGAGCUCUCUGUCCGCUCUCCCACCUGAGAGAGUCCUGGUCCUCGGGAGAUGAGCAGUUUCCACAAUGCCCAUAGAUACCCCAAAUGGCCAGAGCUGGGGGUCCCAGACUCAGAACACAGAGGGGCACUGAGAACCCCCAGGGGCAAAGGCCCUUCCCAAGGCCACCGAGGGACUGAGAGCCAUCCUGCCAGCCUGCCUGGCCGUCUUCCAUAUGCGCUUGGAGGUGGCCAGACCCAAGGGAGCCAGACGGUCCCGUCCAGCUGGCCCAAGGUCACCAACAGCUUCGAAAACAAUAGGCAGUGGGUCCAGCCGUGGCUGGGGCCAGAACAAAGGCCUAGGCACUUCCUCGAAUUGAGGCCCCCUCCUUCAUGGUUUGCCAAGGCCGGGGACGAAGGAAACCUUCAUCGGGAGGUAGGGAUGUUUUGCAAAA
ensembl:lncRNA